rnacentral:tRNA from 1 species
GGAAGCAUGCCCCGAAGGUCGGGAAACGGUCUUGAAAACCGUCGCCAUCCGUGCAGAGCGGGUGAGGGUUCAAUUCCUUGUGCUUCCGCCA